rnacentral:tRNA from 1 species
UACAAUAUCAGCUAUAAAGCUGACGAGUUCAUACCUCGUAUAUGUAUAUUAUGCCUGAUUAAA